CGCAAGAUCUCCUCGUCGACGUCUGGGAAGCUCACCUGGAUGUGGGAGAGAAGACUGUGCGAGUAGGCUGUUCCCUCUUCUGAGAAGAAUCAGAAGAACUGUCCGUAGCUGGUGUAAAAACGUCAUCAUCGUCAAGCUCAGCUCCGUUAUGAGUAGUGGAAGAUGAUGUAGUUGAACCUUCCCUAAGGUCUUUGAUGGCUUUCCUCACUCGCCUGUCAAAGGCGCUCGCAUCAGCAGGGCUUUGGAAAAUAGCAUUCAAGUAUAACCAGUUUGUCUUUCUGCCGAUCACCAUGGAUGAGAAAGCCACUUCCAUUGCCUGCGGGGUGCAUGACCUUCAGACCCCCACUCGACUGAUCCCGCCUCCUUCCUGUGGGAACCAUGCCCCGCUGGAGUCAUCUCUGGUCAUGGGCACAGCCUUGACAAGCACAAUGUAGCUGUCAUCGUC
rnacentral:lncRNA from 1 species